AUGGUUAUAUGUUUAUUCUCGCAAUGCAUUUUUAGGAUAUUUACUACAAGAUGUCCUUGUGGAGUUUGGUUAUAGAAGGCAUCCAUAAUACCCACAGAAAACCUCUUUCUUAAUUGUCAAAAAGAUCAUUCAAGGGCGUGUGGAACGGUGUCGUUAAAGUGUAGGCUGGUAUUGAAGACUUGUGGCUGAUUUUUAGUUCUCUUUUUUCCUGUUGUGUUGGCUCUAGACAAAGCAUUCUGUUAUGGAAAGGCAACAUGUCAUUUGAAGUUCGUUUUCCUCUCUUUAUUCUCUUGAAAAAAAUGUUUUAUUUCAGAAAAAUUCACUUCUGGUGAUCCCUCUUGGAGUUGGAAACGUUACCCCAGCAGGUUGUCAAAAAAUCUUGAGCUUCAACAAAUCACACUUGAGAAUAAUGAAUUUACACCCUCGGAUUCUCUUGAUUCCAAGAUAACAAGUGGAUCAUGCACUUCUAUCCUUGGAUCAAUCACGAUCCCUUACAAGUAGUUUACUUCAUUUGGAGAGCUCGAUUGCUCUUAAAGAUUCUUUAAAAUCAUCACAUGGACCAAAACUAGCCGAAGAGGUGACCGAAAUUCUGCAAUUGAGAAGAGUUGAUAUCCGAUGUCGACAACCGUAGCUAGGGCAGAAGACGGCUUCGAGUCUUCGACUUCGACAAUUGAGAAGUCAACUGACGAAGUGACGAUCCAAUUCAGAUUACGGAUUACAUCCCUUUUUUCAUUAGACUAUUGAGCUUAAUACCUCUUUGUUUCAAUAAAUUAAUUGGUGUGGUUUUAAAAAAUUUGGACCAUUUGUGCUAGUUUGUAUUUUGGUCCAUUUAGAAAUAACUUGAAAUUUUUUAGGGUAGCCUAAUUUUUUUCCGAUAUAAAA